GAAAUACAUUUUCUUUUUUUUUUUUUUUGAGAGAGGGUCUCCCUGUACAGUUCAGGCUGGCCUUGAGCUCACUUUGUAGCUCAGGCUGGUUUCAAAUUUGCAAUGAUCUUCCUGCUGGGAUUACAGGCAUGCACCACUACACCCGGCUGGGAAUACAUUUUCAUGUGUGCUACUGAACAAGAAAAAAUAGUCGAUGUGCCAGGAAACAUGCACUACCCCGGUGCAUCUCACUAAUAAAAAUGGGCCAGCCGGAGAUUGUGGAGCCAGUCCUCCGGAGGUGAACUCCUCCAGGCUACACAAUGUCCCAAGAGGAGUGAUUAUGAGAAAACUAUCAAUCACUGCGUUAAUAACACCCUUCUGAAGGAACUAACGAGAAAGCAAAUUGGAAGGUGAAAUUUUAUCUUUGUUUUCAAAUAAGUGGUCUUGAUUUUUCUUCUUAUAGAAAAAAUUUAAACGGUUACUAUAUAUACAUGUAUAUGCGUAUAUAGAGAGUUAAUUUGUGCAACUUUCAAAUAAAA
rnacentral:lncRNA from 1 species